AGUGAACGCUGGCGGUAGGCCUAACACAUGCAAGUCGAACGGCAGCACAGUAAGAGCUUGCUCUUACGGGUGGCGAGUGGCGGACGGGUGAGGAAUACAUCGGAAUCUACUUUUUCGUGGGGGAUAACGUAGGGAAACUUACGCUAAUACCGCAUACGACCUACGGGUGAAAGCAGGGGAUCUUCGGACCUUGCGCGAUUGGAUGAGCCGAUGUCGGAUUAGCUAGUUGGCGGGGUAAAGGCCCACCAAGGCGACGAUCCGUAGCUGGUCUGAGAGGAUGAUCAGCCACACUGGAACUGAGACACGGUCCAGACUCCUACGGGAGGCAGCAGUGGGGAAUAUUGGACAAUGGGCGCAAGCCUGAUCCAGCCAUACCGCGUGGGUGAAGAAGGCCUUCGGGUUGUAAAGCCCUUUUGUUGGGAAAGAAAAGCAGCAGGUUAAUACCCCGCUGUUCUGACGGUACCCAAAGAAUAAGCACCGGCUAACUGCGU
rnacentral:rRNA from 1 species